UGAUGUGGCUCAGUUGGUAGAGCAGCUGAUUCGUAAUCAGCAGGUCGGGGGUUCAAGUCCCCCCAUCA
rnacentral:tRNA from 2 species